rnacentral:tRNA from 1 species
GAGGGUAUAGCUCAAUGGUAGAGCACUAACCUGGCAUGUGCUGGAUUUGAUUCCUAGUACCAUCA